UUUUUACCCCGUUUUACUGACCACACCGCCGCUAAGCCCACUCCCUGUGAUGUGUGGUGUAUGUUGUGAUAUAAAGAGAUGUAGUCUGGUCUAGUUUUAGCGUAAAAUUCGAUAUAAACCUUUAGGACCGUGUUUGGUAAGCUAACAGGCUAACCGGCUGUCUAGCUUAGCUAGCUAGCGCGUUGCUAAGCGACACGGUGUAUCACAGGCUAGCUUGCUAGCCUUCACUAGCUUUCAGCUGUAUUUUAUGACGGUGUUUUUGUAGAAGCUGUAUAAAUAGCAGCAGUUAUUUAGAGUGUAUUCUGAUGUAAAGGGUUUUAGUGUCUGUUCUGCUCUCUAGUAAUAUUCAGUGAAGCUUGUAAACUGAAUACAUAACGUUAACUACCUAGCUUGGUAGAUUAGUUAGGGUCAGCUUCAUUAGAUUUAUCCUGAUAGUACUUUAACCUGACACGUUAGCUAGAUAAACUAAUCUAAGCCCAUUAACACAUUGUUAGGCGUUUCUUAUACAUUUGUUUUUACUUUUUUUCUUAUUCCAAUAUUGUUGCCCUGCCUGAUAUUCACAUUCUUCCUAAAUAAAAUGUGUAAUUUCAUCAUAUUGGCUACAUAUGUGUGAUGCAUUAAUUAGCUAUUAGCUAGGUUAGAUUAGCUAGAUAUCCAUCUUAGUCCAGUUGGGGUAUUGAAGUUCUGUUAUAAAGCUAUCUUAGCUACUCUAGCUGGAUAGUUAAGAUUUGUCAGUAUGUGGUGUAACCUUGUAUACUUGUGUUCUUUCUGUUUCUGGUGCUUUGCUUUCUUAGGAAAUCAUCAUCUACACUGAGGGAACGACAGCAUCACUGCCUGGGAACAACUUCUCUUUCUAUCACCACGCUUUUCUUCUUUUACCACGCUCUCUCCGCCACGCUUUCUUACCACGCUCUUUCCACCACGCUUCUAUCAAACGCUGAGGCCUAAGAUAGGCCUAAUAUACCCUACCAAAACAAACCUCUAUACCACGCUACCCCAGAAACUGCAAAAAUACCAACACCUUGUACCAACACCUUGUACCAACACCUUGUACCAACACCUUGUACCAACCCCUUGUACCAACCCCUUGUACCAACGCCUUGUACCAACGCCACCCCUACCAACACCACCCUACCAACACCACCCUACCACGCUCUACCCUACCCUACCCUACCCUACCCUACCCUACACCCUGUCCAUUUUAUAUCUGUUAAUCUUUAAAUCUGUGCAAAGUUGUACUGUGAUUAAUUUCAGGUUAAACCCUUGGCUGAAGAACUAAUCCAGAGCUGAUCCACUCCUGCUGAUCUUCAGACCAUCAAGCACACACACUAACAUACAACAUUAAGAAUUACUUGGUUGUUUUUAAUAUUUAAUAAAAUUUGAAGUUUAGUACUGCA